GAAAUUUUGAGUGUGGAACUAAGCGUAAGAAACGUAGGGCGGGACACGUGAAAUCCUGUUUGAAGAUGGGGGGACCAUCCUCCAAGGCUAAAUACUCGUGAUCGACCGAUAGUGAACCAGUACCGUGAGGGAAAGGCGAAAAGAACCCCGGAAGGGGAGUGAAAUAGAUCCUGAAACCGUAUGCAUACAAACAGUAGGAGCCUCCUUGUGGGGUGACUGCGUACCUUUUGUAUAAUGGGUCAGCGACUUACAUUCAGUGGCAAGGUUAACCGAAUAGGGAAGCCGUAGCGAAAGCGAGUCCGAAUAGGGCGAUUCAGUCGCUGGGUGUAGACCCGAAACCAGAUGAUCUAUCCAUGGCCAGGUUGAAGGCACGGUAACACGUGCUGGAGGACCGAACCCACUAAUGUUGAAAAAUUAGGGGAUGAGCUGUGGAUAGGGGUGAAAGGCUAAACAAAUCUGGAAAUAGCUGGUUCUCUCCGAAAACUAUUUAGGUAGUGCCUCAAGUAUUACUGCGGGGGGUAGAGCACUGUUAUAGCUAGGGGGUCAUGGCGACUUACCAAACUAUGGCAAACUCCGAAUACCCGCAAGUACAGCUUGGGAGACAGAGCACCGGGUGCUAACGUCCGGACUCAAGAGGGAAACAACCCAGACCGCCAGCUAAGGUCCCAAAUUAUCGCUAAGUGGGAAACGAAGUGGGAAGGCAUAGACAGUCAGGAGGUUGGCUUAGAAGCAGCCAUCCUUUAAAGAAAGCGUAAUAGCUCACUGAUCGAGUCGUCCUGCGCGGAAGAUGUAACGGGGCUAAGCGAUAAACCGAAGCUGCGGGUGUGCACUUUUAGUGCACGCGGUAGGAGAGCGUUCUGUAAGCCUGCGAAGGUGGCUUGUAAAGGCUGCUGGAGGUAUCAGAAGUGCGAAUGCUGACAUGAGUAGCGAUAAAGGGGGUGAAAAGCCCCCUCGCCGUAAGUCCAAGGUUUCCUGCGCAACGUUCAUCGGCGCAGGGUGAGUCGGCCCCUAAGGCGAGGCAGAGAUGCGUAGCUGAUGGGAAGCUGGUUAAUAUUCCAGCACCGUCGUACAGUGCGAUGGGGGGACGGAUCGCGGAAGAUCAUCAGGGUGUUGGAUGUCCCUGUUGCUGCAUCGAAGAUGGCGCUUAGGCAAAUCCGGGCGCGUAAAUCAAGGGUGUGGCACGAGCGAGCAUUGCUUGCGAAGUGAUUGGAAGUGGUUCCAAGAAAAGCCUCUAAGCUUCAGCUGUACGAGACCGUACCGCAAACCGACACAGGUGGACGGGAUGAAUAUUCCAAGGCGCUUGAGAGAACUCAGGAGAAGGAACUCGGCAAAUUGAUACCGUAACUUCGGGAGAAGGUAUACCCCGGUAGUGUGAAGCGCCUGCGCGCUUAGCAUGAUGGGGUCGCAGAGAAUCGGUGGCUGCGACUGUUUAUUAAAAACACAGCACUCUGCAAAGACGAAAGUCGACGUAUAGGGUGUGACGCCUGCCCGGUGCCGGAAGGUUAAGUGAUGGGGUGCAAGCUCUUGAUCGAAGCCCCGGUAAACGGCGGCCGUAACUAUAACGGUCCUAAGGUAGCGAAAUUCCUUGUCGGGUAAGUUCCGACCUGCACGAAUGGCGUAACGAUGGCCACACUGUCUCCUCCUGAGACUCAGCGAAGUUGA
rnacentral:rRNA from 1 species